AUAUAAGCCAUUUAACAAUGUGAGACAUGACUUUUGUGGUUAUUUGUAAUAUCCUGUAUGUGUCUGGAGUACUUUGAUGCCUUGGAUUGGAAGCUAACUUAAAAGAUGAACUUUUGAGGGUGUGUUUUCUAUUGUGUGGGGCUUUUGUCGAAAUUAGGAUUCCGAAACACGUUUUUCUACGGUGGGUUCAUUCGACAGCGAUUUACUUUCUUAGAAGUUGCGAGACGGUAUGUUUUUGUUUGCAAUUAUUGGAAGAUGACAGAUCCAUCUUUAAAAUGAUACCAGGUUCGGAAAAAUUGAUACGUCGGAAAGGCAAGAAAAAUGCUGUGAAAGUUGUCAGUUUUAUAAUGGGACCCUAUGGGAAUCGGAAUUAGUGUAAUAUAACCUUUAAAAAGCACAUUUACUGCAAUGUCAAGGUCACAUGGAUUCGUCUGCAAGCGAGACAAGUAGAAAAUGAAUUUUAAUGAAUGUUUUGAUGAUUUGGGUGCUAAAAUAGAUGAGAGGUGUCAAUAUUUUGGUCCAAAUGGAUGUUUUAGGUGGUUUUAGACGGUUCCGGAUGGGUGGGGGACCUGGUAUGGACAAGCCUGACCGUUUGUCCUUGAGCCGUAGAUGGUCAACAAUCUGCUAGCUGUCUUGCUCUGACUGGUGCACUGGACAUGAUUUCAAUAGUCAGCCAGACCAUGAUUGAGCUUAAGGAUUGUGCUGCGGAUGCAGCCUGUGCAGUUCCGGGAGAAAGUCACUGUCUCGGGCAAUGCGGUCUGGUAUCAGGUCUGGAUGAUCCUUGCCUGACUGCGGGUUUGUGUGCACCUCAAUCCGACUCUGUGUCCUGAACAGAGGCCGCAGUGGUGCAGCGCUUGUGGACGAUCCAUCAACAUCCUGAAAGGUCAACACUACACCAAGCUGGGAAAAUUGAUCCUGAUAGUCAUCCCCAGGUAGUGGAAUGAAUGUUCACUGAACUACAGAGGAAUCACACCCAAAUGACUUUCCUGCCACGACAUUAGUGUGGCCACUCGCGUAGGAAUUCCUUAGCAAACAUGCUCUUUUGCAUGGUGACUGUGGACAUUUUUGCAAAACUUACGCUUUCAACACUGGAUUUUAAAGAGAAUACUUAAUAAAAUGUCGCUAACAGGACUUAUUUAUAUGAGAGAGACUAUCUGGAUGCGCAUUAAGUGUCACUUUGUGUCGUAAGCUGUUGAAGGAGCGAUUUGCGCCUUUUUAAGUGUUAAAUUUGGGUAGCCGGCUUGUAUCAGCUUGAAAGCUGAAAAUUAUGCCUCUCAUCAUAAUAGCAUUAAUUUUUGUAAUUGCAAUGUGUAUGUUUAGAUUGUAAGUGAAGCUUUUAAUAAUAAUUUUCUUAAUAAACAUGAUUUUAUAUGCUGUAA